rnacentral:rRNA from 1 species
UAACGAAUAUUCCGCAAUGGACGAAAGUCUGACGGAGCAAUGCCGCGUGCAGGAUGAAGCGGUUUCGCCGUGUAAACUGCUGUCAGGGGCAGGAAAAACUGAUCCGCCCCAAAGGAAGAGACGGCUAACCCUGUGCCAGCAGCCGCGGUAAUACAGGGGUCUCGAGCGUUAAUCGGAAUCACUGGGCUUAAAGGGUGCGUAGGCGGAUCCGUAAGCGCUUUGUGAAAUCCCCCGGCUCAACCGGGGAACUGCAGGGCGAACUGCGGAUCUUGAGGAAACUAGAGGCCGGUAGAACGAUUGGUGGAGCGGUGGAAUGCGUAGAUAUCAAUCGGAAUGCCAAAAAGUGAAGACAGCCGGCUGGGGUUUUCCUGACGCUGAGGCACGAAAGCGUGGGGAGCAAACCGGAUUAGAUACCCCUGUAGUCCCUGAGCGGGCUGGCAAGGCGCAU